GGGGAUGUGACUUAAUGGUAAAGUGUUGCCUGGCAUUCAUGAGGCCCUGGGUUCAAUCCCCAACAUCCCAC
rnacentral:tRNA from 1 species